rnacentral:ncRNA from 1 species
GCUGGUCGUUGGUGGUGGUAUUCCGAGUCGCUCGGAGCAUUCCCACUGAUGGCCAGA